AUAACCCAACCGAUGGUGGGACAUUCUCAAUCAGGAUUUUGAGACAGACAGCAGAUGGCAUCAUCAAUUAUGUCAAGUUGUGCAGAUCCUGAAGCAGCAAAUAACCAUUUUGAACUGUUGAGGAGGGACAUUAUCGCUUGGUGUCGUGGCUCUGAUUCGUCUGUUCAUUGUCUGUACCUGUAGUUCUCUGUUAGGCUAGAUCAGAACACAAGGAAACGCCCCGAACAGAAAACUGCUGCACCCAGAGGAAAAAGCCUUGUGAUGUCAAGUCAAGUUUAUUUGUGCAGCCCGAUAUCACAUAAGAUAUCUCUGUGGGCAUCGCAGGCUCACAACAGCACUAGUUCCUGACCCAGCUCGAUCUCUCUCGGAAGAUGAGGAAAGGGCCGGUAAAAAGAAACUGUUACAAGAAAGGAGAAGAAACCUCGGGAGACAGCUUCAGUGAAACAAUUCCCCGUCCUCUGACAGAUGGGGGAGAAAGGAGGAAAAGAACAAAGGUUUAAAGGAGACUUGGAGUUAGGGCUGAAAAACAUCUCGACACUGAACAUUUUUUUUUUUCCUUUUUCAUAAAACAACACUUUCAGGAUACUGUUUCUAUAAUUAAAAUGUAUUUAAAAAGUCAUCUCAAGUUUAACAUGUGAAUUGUUGUGGGGAAAGGAAAAAUGAGGUGAGGAAUAGAUUCUUUUUUCUUCAUGGACUCCAAUAAGAUUUAACAAAUCUAUAGAAUCGUAUGGCUAAACUCUUUAUUCCCAUUCUUUGUUGAGGAGGCUUAUCUGAAAAGUAGUGUAAACCCAAAAGAUACCAGCAAAGAAUAGAAAUAGACUGUUGUUGUCCUUUAUUUACAGAUUUCCUUAGCCGUUUUGUUGUCCAUGUUGGGUGUUUUUGGCAGCUAUAGCUGAAUUGGAGAUGCUAGCCUCUGGAUAUUUUGAACCGACCACGGGUCAAUUAGGAACUGCUGUGGGGAAUGGGCUCAUAGAUGGGUCCAGAGAGGGAUUAGAGCUACAACCAGUUGAAAAAGGGUGUAAUAGAAAAGCUAAUACUACAUUAAAUCAUGCAUUAGACUUAAAAAAACAUUGUGAUUUUUGUACUUGGUGUAUUGAAACUGAAAGGAAAAGUGGACAUUUGCACCUUGGUUAAUUAAAUGCUGGGCAAAGGCAUUUU